UACGUAGGGGGCAAGCGUUGUCCGGAUUUAUUGGGCGUAAAGAGCGUGUAGGCGGCCAUGUAGGUCCGUUGUGAAAACUCGAGGCUCAACCUCGAGACGCCGAUGGAAACCAUGUGGCUAGAGUCCGGAAGAGGAGAGUGGAAUUCCUGGUGUAGCGGUGAAAUGCGCAGAUAUCAGGAGGAACACCGGUGGCGAAGGCGGUGAUCUGGGCCGGCACUGACGCUGAGGAGCGAAAGCGUGGGUAGCAAACAGG
rnacentral:rRNA from 1 species